GCCCCGGUAGCUCAGCCUGGUGGAGCGCCUCACUGGUAAUGGUGGUUGACCGCCUAGUGAGGAGGUCCCGGGUUCGAAUCCCGGCCGGGGCU
rfam:Thermoproteus tenax Kra 1, complete genome